GGGUCUGCAUUUCGCAGAGAACUGCAGCAAGAAUUAGAGGAGCAACCACAGGAGUGGCAAUCCAAACCAGAAGAAGGAGAGAUAGCCAUCCCUGCAGUGUCCACACCACGUAAAAGUGGAACUCCCCGUAGAAGUGGAACCCCCCGUGCCAUAACCCCAUUGAGCCAAAUGGUCAUCCACCGUCUCGUCAAAGUGGAGCGGCAGAGGGCAAAGGACAAGCAGCAGAUUUUAAAGAUAGAUCAGCGGGUAACAAAGAUUGAACAGCAAAUCGAUAAUAUUUUGCAGCUGUUGAGGAAGCAUCCGACACUGCAGACGGAACGGCAUACCGCUAUGGUUGCACCUCUAAUGUGAUCCCACCAGCACAGUUAUUUUUGUAAAUUUUGGUUGGGUUCAUUCUGUGAUGGUCAGGUGGAGGGAUUUUGGGGGAGUUUUGCAGGUUUUGGGGUCGCUAUUUUGAGUAAUUGUUGAAUUAGUAAAUAGAGUUUAACUGAUUUUCCAAACCUGUUCCUUCUUUUUCUGAAUGGGGGGCUACCAAUCACAUGAUCACACUCAUACUC